rnacentral:pre_miRNA from 1 species
ACAACGUUCGGACCAUCGGUUUACCGAGAAAUUUCACCCACCCAGUGGAAGAUCUUCCCUUUGUCGU